GCGUAACGCGUGGGAAUCUGGCGUACGCGUGGGAAUCUGCGUAACGCGUGGGAAUCUGCGUAACGCGUGGGAAUCUGUGUUGGAGUGGAAGGCCUUAGGGUUGUAAAUCUUGCGUAACGCGUGGGAAUCUGCGUAACGCGUGGGAAUCUGGCGUACGCGUGGGAAUCUGCGUAACGCGUGGGAAUCUGCGUAACGCGUGGGAAUCUGCGUAACGCGUGGGAAUCUGGCGUACGCGUGGGAAUCUGCGUAACGCGUGGGAAUCUGUGUUGGAAGGCCUUAGGGUUGUAA
rnacentral:rRNA from 1 species